UGUAUCCUGGGGUCAUAAUACUGGACUUACUGUAAGGAUUCAAAUGAUGUAAAGCAUUAGGGAAGAGAUGCUCAAUAGAUAUGAUUUCUCUUCCCCUCCACUACCCCCAGCCAUCAGCCUGUUACCAUAGAAUCUCUUUCUGAUUACCACUGCCACUGCCAUCAAGGGGCUAUUGCUCAACCCGGUCUAUGCAAGGAUAAAAUAUCUUUUCUUGAUUUCCCUUGGCUCAGAGAAGUUCAAAAUGAGUUUACUAGAAGCCAAGAAAAUAAAAAGGAAACAACUCCAAAGAAACAGCUGAUGUGAAGCUUGUCCAUAGUACAUCUCUUGAUACUUUAGACAGAAAAAAAAAUGAUAUCAAGGAAAUUGCAGCUUCCUAAUACCUCAGUUCUCCCCUUUCUCACUUCUAGGAUCUCACAGAACAUCAACUGGCCAAGUUCUUCAUUGUCUUCAAAAGAGGAGAGAGGGAGGCAGGAGUAUAUGCUGACAAGAGACACAAAAAGACUUAAUGACUUAACAAUGACUGCACUAUGGAAAUCUUACUCCUCAUCUCUGGAUUUUCCUUUCAUGAAGUUAAAAAAAGAUAACCUCAUACUUCAUCCAAGAAAUAAACAGGGACGCAUGGGUGGCUCAGUGGGUUAA
rnacentral:lncRNA from 1 species